rfam:Haliaeetus albicilla contig19498, whole genome shotgun sequence.
AGAAAGGUUUUUUUCAAAACCAUUAAAGGGCUAUAAGCGAUCAACU